rnacentral:misc_RNA from 1 species
GAUGAAGAACGCAGUGAAAUGCGAUAAGUAAUGUGAAUUGCAGAAUUCAGUGAAUCAUCGAAUCUUUGAACGCACAUUGCGCCCAUUAGUAUUCUAGUGGGCAUGCCUGUUCGAGCGUCAUUAAGUCCACUUAAGCCCUGCUUAGUGUUGGGAGACUGCUCCAGCGGUGCUACCCUGUAGCUACCCUGCAGCUCCUCAAAGACAGCGGCGGAGUUGUGGUAUCCUCUGAGCUUAGUAACUUGUUCUAGCUUUCGAGUACACCACUUCCCCUGCCGUAAAACCCUUAAUUUUUAAUGGUUGACCUCGGAUCAGGUAGGAAUACCCGCUGAACUUAAGCAUAUCAAAAGCGGAGGA